AGUGCCACUCCCAUGGAAAGAAACAGGGAUUUUGACUAAGUCAGCAUAAUUGGAGCAGAUCUUCAGAGAGAAAAUGCAGAAUGUGAAUGGAGAAAGAUGCAAAUAUUGAACCUGAAGAAAAAGAAAGCUGAGAACCCUGUGUAGGAUGCCUGAACACCAGGGCUUGUUCCUGGCCCUGAAAAGCUCUUGGGGAAGAGGCUACCAAAGGAAUAAGAUAAUGCUGCCUAUCUUAGUGGGGCCCUGUGGAUGGCUCACAAACACAUUUGUAGGCCGAGUGCGG
rnacentral:lncRNA from 1 species